GUACACCCCUCACACACAGUAUAUCACAAAAGUGAGUACACCCCUCACAUUUUUAUAAAUAUUUGAUAAUAUCUUUUCACAUAUAUAUUUAUAUUAUAUUAUAUUAUAUUUAUAUUAUAUUAUAUUUAUAUUUAUAUAUUUCUCUCUCUCUGUCUCUCUCUCUCUCAGGUACCCGGCCUGAACACCGCCGGAAAGGCUGGAAUUGGUGUUUCUGUCUUCAUUUUCAUCGUCAUAGGCGUGAUAUGUGGGAUACAAUGUUACAGGAAAAUCGGCAGGUUCUAGGCUGUCGUUCAGGACGAUCAGCAGGAAGCAGCUGACUGACUCACUUUAGUGUUACACUGGCUGUAUAUUAUUAACUAAUUCUCUAGCACUUCCUGUGUAUGCAUUUAUAGAGGUGUUACGUUCUUAUUUACUGGAUUAGCAAGCUAGCAUCCCAAAGUCCAGGCUUUAUGUUAGAUAAGCAGUUCCUCUCCAGCUCACAAGAUUAUUUUAAUAACAAAAAAUUCAUAAUGAACUUCUGUAUACACUUUUACAAGUCUGUUUUGAAUCUUACUGGCUAACAUUCUUUUUAAAAUGUAUUGCGUUCUUUAGACACACACACACAUUUUCAUAAAUAAAAAAAAUAGGUAGGAUAUAUUUAACCAAAAUCAACAGUCGCAUUUCACAUUAACAUUAUCAUUAACAUAACCCUGAGCCUAGGUAGAUUUUAAUAUUUACACACUUCAUGCAAAUUUAUUCACCUUUUUAACUGCCACAGAGAACUGUGAGGCACCCAGAAUGCUGGCGAGGAAGGAAGGGUAUAUUCGACGCAUCAAGACACACACCUGAGACGUUGGGACACUAAUCAGCUAAUGCUGUUUUUUAAAUGUACUUUUUAAAUUGAAUUUACUUAUAUUAUAAGCUUGCUUUAUUUCUUUUAAUGAAAUGUUUAGUGAAAUGUACUUGUUAGCAGAGAUGCUCAGUAAGAGUGUCUUUGUGUAACAGAGGCAGUUGGCUGUUCAUGCAAAUGUUAGCUAGCGAUAACUAGCAAGCUAGCAUAGUGCCACUCUUUUAUACACCUCAUUGUUCAGUUUAUUAUCUAAAAAAAAACUCUUAGACAACUCUUAGCUUUUAUCUGAAAUUAACAAGACAUAAAUUUUGAUAACAACAACAGUUCUAAUAAUGCAAAUACUACUGCUACUAGUACUACUAAUAAUAAUAUUAACAAUGCCGGGUGUCUCUGGAUAUCUGGAAAGGUCACACAUUUAUAAUGAAUAUAUAAGGACAUCUAUACGCUAUCAGCCUUUUGGCUAGUUUGCUAAUAUUUUCCGAUAUUAUCACGACAUUAUUUUACUACGUUGCUAAAUCAGUAGUUCUGGCAACAUUCAGCUGUUAUGCUGCCUUCCUUCUGAAUGGGACACUACCGUUAUAUCACUGGAGAAAACGUUGUGUUAAUUAGUAAUAAAUUUAUCGUGUGAUAUUAGUGUAUUUAUUGUUGUCUUCGAAUAACAUUCCACAGUGUGUGUGAGCGGAUUUACAGCCAGAAUAUACAUUUCAGCCUGACAUAUUGUCGUUCCAUCAAACUGUCAGACGGUGGCGCUGGACUAAACACCGCUCCUCACGCCAGCCGAUAUCACACAACAAACGUGCUUAAGAUCAAGAUCAGAAUCGAGCGGAACCGAGACACGCCCCCGUUCUAGAUAAACUCCGCCCCCGUGUGCUUAACUUCUGAAUAGUGUUGAAGUCAGUAGUUACGUCUGAGGUCUAAAUACUGAUGUGUGGAAUUUCAGUGUUUAGGAGAUGAUCUCAGAGAUGAACUCUACUCUUAUAUUAUCUUAUUGUAUAACUGAUUACUGACGUUAUAUUAUAGACAAUGAUUAUAUAUAUUAAUAUCCACUUCUAUACAUAAAACUAAUAUGAACUAUUAAUAUUCAUGCCAGUUCUAUUAUUAUUAUUAUUAGUAGUAGUAGUAGUAGUAGUAGUAGUAGUAGUAGUAGUAGUAGUACAGUACUUCCGUGAAGUGAGUACUUGUGUCUGAUUUUGCCUUUUUUCCCUUCAGAUGGAAAAUUUUAUGCCAUGUCAUUUUGAUCUUUUGUAGAAUUCGAUCAUCCAGUCAAUUAUUCCUCUCAGUUCCUCGUUCAUGUUUUAAGGCUAAAGGUGACCAGGCUUUCUCAGUGGCUGCUCCUAAGCUUUGGAAUAGACUUCUUCUAUACAUUAGAGCUUCCUCUGCCAUUUCUGUGUUUAAAUCCUCUUUGAAGACUUAUUUGUAUUCUUUAUGUUUUAAUCGAGGGUGUAAAUUUUUCAUUCUUCCUUUUUGGUUUUUGUUUACUCAUUUAAUUUGUUUUAAUUCUGUUUUAUGUUUUAUAUUUCUUGUGCAGUGCUUUGCUUUCAACAUUUGUUGUUUUAAAUGUGCUUUAUAAAUCUGCACUGGUUUUUACUGAUGAUAAUCUAAUUUUAAUAAUGUUUUGUGAUUGUGUGAUUAUUGUUCUGCUUUGCAUAAACACAGCCAAUAAAGUGUGUAACACUGUGUGUGUGUGUGUGUUUUAUUUUUAUUGCCUGUUAUGUAAAAAAAAAAAAAAAAAAUUAAAAUUAAAUUCCAGAUUUACUCUCCUUUUAGUGUUAUAAUGCGCUCCACUCUUCUGCGAAGGCAUUCCACUAGAUUUUGGGGCGGGG
ensembl:lncRNA